rnacentral:rRNA from 1 species
GCUAUACAUGCAGUCGAGCGAACGGAUAAGGAGCUUGCUCCUUUGAAGUUAGCGGCGGACGGGUGAGUAACACGUGGGUAACCUACCUAUAAGACUGGAAUAACUUCGGGAAACCGGAGCUAAUGCCGGAUAACAUUUGGAACCGCAUGGUUCUAAAGUAAAAGAUGGUUUUGCUAUCACUUAUAGAUGGACCCGCGCCGUAUUAGCUAGUUGGUAAGGUAACGGCUUACCAAGGCAACGAUACGUAGCCGACCUGAGAGGGUGAUCGGCCACACUGGAACUGAGACACGGUCCAGACUCCUACGGGAGGCAGCAGUAGGGAAUCUUCCGCAAUGGACGAAAGUCUGACGGAGCAACGCCGCGUGAGUGAUGAAGGUUUUCGGAUCGUAAAACUCUGUUAUUAGGGAAGAACAAAUGUGUAAGUAACUGUGCACAUCUUGACGGUACCUAAUCAGAAAGCCACGGCUAACUACGUGCCAGCAGCCGCGGUAAUACGUAGGUGGCAAGCGUUAUCCGGAAUUAUUGGGCGUAAAGCGCGCGUAGGCGGUUUCUUAAGUCUGAUGUGAAAGCCCACGGCUCAACCGUGGAGGGUCAUUGGAAACUGGGAAACUUGAGUACAGAAGAGGAAAGUGGAAUUCCAUGUGUAGCGGUGAAAUGCGCAGAGAUAUGGAGGAACACCAGUGGCGAAGGCGACUUUCUGGUCUGUAACUGACGCUGAUGUGCGAAAGC